GAUGAACGCUGGCGGCGUGCCUAAUACAUGCAAGUCGAGCGAACAGACGAGGAGCUUGCUCCUCUGACGUUAGCGGCGGACGGGUGAGUAACAUGUGGAUAACCUACCUAUAAGACUGGGAUAACUUCGGGAAACCGGAGCUAAUACCGGAUAAUAUAUUGAACCGCAUGGUUCAAUAGUGAAAGACGGUUUUGCUGUCACUUAUAGCUGGAUCCGCGCCGCAUUAGCUAGUUGGUAAGGUAACGGCUUACCAAGGCAACGAUGCGUAGCCGACCUGAGAGGGGGAUCGGCGACACUGGAACUGAGACACGGUCCAGACUCCUAAGGGAGGCAGCAGUAGGGAAUCUUCCGCAAUGGGCGAAAGCCUGACGGAGCAACGCCGCGUGAGUGAUGAAGGUCUUCGGAUCGUAAAACUCUGUUAUUAGGGAAGAACAAAUGUGUAAGUAACUAUGCACGGCUUGACGGUACCUAGUCAGAAAGCCACGGCUAACUACGUG
rnacentral:rRNA from 1 species